rnacentral:piRNA from 1 species
UGAAGGUGGAAGACAUGAACCUGUUCACUC